AUCGCUUCUCAGCCUUUUGGCUAAGAUCAAGUGGGAAGAAUAAAUAUAAUUGUGUUUAAUUCUAAAUAAUUUUCUCUGUGAGACUGUUUUGUUUUGAUAGUCGUCUCUUCAACACUCUCCACCUUUGGUUUAUUGCACAUAUGAUGGGAAGAUUAUAG
ensembl:snRNA U2 U2 spliceosomal RNA